GCAGCAGUGGGGAAUUUUGGACAAUGGGCGAAAGCCUGAUCCAGCCAUUCCGCGUGCAGGACGAAGGCCUUCGGGUUGUAAACUGCUUUUGUACGGAACGAAAAGGUCUCUGUUAAUACCAGGGGCUGAUGACGGUACCGUAAGAAUAAGCACCGGCUAACUACGUGCCAGCAGCCGCGGUAAUACGUAGGGUGCGAGCGUUAAUCGGAAUUACUGGGCGUAAAGCGUGCGCAGGCGGUCUUGUAAGACAGAUGUGAAAUCCCCGGGCUCAACCUGGGAACUGCAUUUGUGACUGCAAGGCUAGAGUGCGGCAGAGGGGGAUGGAAUUCCGCGUGUAGCAGUGAAAUGCGUAGAUAUGCGGAGGAACACCGAUGGCGAAGGCAAUCCCCUGGGCCUGCACUGACGCUCAUGCACGAAAGCGUGGGGAGCAAACAGGAUUAGAUACCCUGGUAGUCCACGCCCUAAACGAUGUCAACUGGUUGUUGGGUCUUCACUGACUCAGUAACGAAGCUAACGCGUGAAGUGACCGC
rnacentral:rRNA from 1 species